AAUCCGAUAUCGAUUGGUCCUUGAAAUCGGACAAUUCAAGUUCGUACGAAGUUCGUUCUGAAAUGGGGUGGUUGGUGUAUUGUAUAGUUGUAGAGAUUGGAUUUCACUCAAAACCCACCAAAUGACUCCUCCUAGAAUAUUGUGAUGUUCCCCAAGUUUUGGACUCAAUCCGAUAUCGAUUGGUCCUUGAAAUCGGACAACUCAGGUUCGUACGAAGUUCGUUCUGAAAUGGGUUGGUUGGUGUAUUGUAUAGUUCUAGAGAUUGGAUUUCACUCAAAACCCACCAAAUGCCUCCUCCCACAAUAUUAUGAGGUUCCCCAAGUUUUGGACUCAAUCCGAUAUCGAUUGGUCCUUGAAAUCGGACAAUUCAGGUUCCUACGAAGUUUGUUCUGAAAUGGGGUGGUCGGUGUAUUGUAUAGUUCUACAGAUUGGAUUUCACUCAAAACCCACCAAAUGACUCCUCCCACAAUAUUAUGAUGUUCCCCAAGUUUUGGACUCAAUCCGAUACCGAUCGGUCUACGAAAUUUGACAAUUCAGGUUCGUACGAAGUUCAUUCUGAAAUGGAGUGGUUGGUGUACUGUAUAGUUCUAGGGAUUGUAUUGCACUCAAAACUGACCAAAUGACUCCUCCCAUAAUAUUAUGAUGUUCCCCAAGUUUUGGACUCAAUCCGAUAUCGAUUGGUCCUUGAAAUCGGACAAUUCAGGUUUGUACGAACUUCGUUCUGAAAUGGGGUGGUUGGUGUAUUUUAUAGUUCUAGAGAUUGGAUUUCACUCAAAACCCACCGAACGACUCCUUCCACAAUAUGAUGAUGUUCCCCAUGUUUUGGACUCAAUCCGAUAUCGAUUGGUCCUUGAAAUCGGACAAUUCAGGUUCGUACGAAGUUCGUUCUAAAAUGGGGUGGUUGGUGUAUUGUAUAGUUCUAGAGAUUGGAUUUCACUCAAAACCCACCAAAUGACUCCUCCCAGAAUAUUAUGUUGUUCCCCAAGUUUUGGACUCAAUCCGUUAUCGAUUGGUCAAUGAAAUCGGACAAUUCGGGUUCGUACGAAGUUCGUUCUGAAAUGGGGUGGUUGGUGUAUUGUAUAGUUCUAGAGAUUGGAUUUCACUCAAAACCCACCAAAUGACUCCUCCCAGAAUAUUGUGAACUUCCCCCAGUUUUGGACUCAAUCCGAUAUCGAUUGGUCCUUGAAAUCGGACAAUUCAGUUCCUACUAAGUUCGUUUUGAAAUGGGUGGUUGGUGUAUUGUGUAGUUCUUAGAGACUUGGAUUUGACUCAAAACCCACCCAAUGACUCCUCCCACAAUAAUAAUGAUAUUCCCCAAGUUUUGAACUCAUUCCGAUUACCGAUCGGUCUACAAAUUUGACAGUUNNNNNNNNNNNNNNNNNNNNNNNNNNNNNNNNNNNNNNNNNNNNNNNNNNNNNNNNNNNNNNNNNNNNNNNNNNNNNNNNNNNNNNNNNNNNNNNNNNNNGGUUCGUACGAAGUUCGUUCUGAAAAUGGAGUGGUUGGUGUACUGUAUAGUUCUAGGGAUUGUAUUUCACUCAAAACUUACCAAAUGACUCCUCCCACAAUAUUAUGAUGUUCCCCAAGUUUUGGACUCAAUCCGAUAUCGAUUGGUCCUUGAAAUCGGGCAAUUCAUGUUCGUACGAAGUUCGUUCUGAAAUGGGGUGGUUGGUGUAUUUUAUAGUUCUAGAGAUUGGAUUUCACUCAAAACCCACCGAACGACUCCUCCCACAAUAUUAUGAUGUUCCCCAAUUUUGGACUCAAUCCGAUAUCGAUUGGUUCUUGAAAUCAGACAAUUCAGGUUCGUACGAAGUUCGUUCUGAAGUGGGGUGGUUGGUGUAUUGUAUAGUUCUAGAGAUUGGAUUUCACUCAAAACCCACCAAAUGACUCCUCUCAGAAUAUUAUGAUGUUCCCCAAGUUUUGGACUCAAUCCGUUAUCGAUUGGUCAAUGAAAUCGGACAAUUCAGGUUCGUACGAAGUUCGUUCUGAAAUGGUUUGGUUGGUGUAUUGUAUAGUUCUAGAGAUUGGAUUUCACUCAAAACCCACUAAAUGACUCCUCCCACAAUAUUAUGAAGUUCCCCAAGUUUUGGACUCAAUCCGAUAUCGAUUGGUCCUUGAAAUCGGAUAAUUCAGGUUCCUACGAAGUUCGUUUUGAAAUAGGGUGGUUGGUGUAUUGUGUAGUUCUUGAGAUUGGAUUUGACUCAAAACCCACCAAAUGACUCCUCCCACAAUAUUAUGAUGUUCCCCAAGUUUUGGACUCAAUCCAAUAACGAUUGGUUGAUGAAAUCGGACAAUUCAGGUUCGUACGAAGUUCGUUCAGAAAUAGAGUGGCUGAUGUAUUGUAUUGUUCUGGAGAUUGGAUUUCACUCAAAAAUCACCAAAUGACUCCUCCCACAAUAUUACGUACCCUCCUUGAGGGAUCAAGCCACACGUAGUUCUUCCUUAAAACCCAAUUCCACACUUGGGCGAUACCUUAUUUCAUUUCUCUGGAUUUCAUGUAAUCUCCCCAUACGUCGGUACAACCAACGCCACGUAUGGGGCCUGUCAACACGCCGGAUGACCUACGCCACGUGCGACCAUGCCAUAUUAUCAUAAUAUCUCCCCAUACGCCGGUACAACCAACGCCACGUAUGGGGUCUGUCUCAACGCCAGAUAACCUACGCCACGCGAGACCUGCACAUCAUAUCACAUAACUCCCCAUACGCCGGUACAACCAACGCCACGUAUGGGGCCUGUCCCAACGCCGGAUAACCUACGCCACGUGGGACCUCAACAUCAUAUCACAAAUCUCCCCAUACGUCGGUACAACCAACGCCACGUAUGGGGUCUGUCGACACGCCGGAUAACCUACGCCACGUGCGACCUCAACACAAUAUCACAUAGCUCCCCAUACGCCGGUACAACCAACGCCACUUAUGGGGCCUGUCUCAACGCCGGAUAACCUACACCACGUGAGACCUAAACAUAAUAUCACAAAUCUCCCCAUACGCCGGUACAACCAACGCCACGUAUGGGGCCUGUUCCAACGCCGGAUAACCUACGCCACGCGGGACCUCAAUUUCACUUGGUGGUACUUGUAGUAAAUCCAACAUCCGGGGAGGUACCUAAAGUAGUGCGUAUAGCACUCAAAACUGACAUUCUAGACUCUGUUGUACCCUUGUACAACCAUAUAUAAUUAUAAUUAUAUAAAUUAAUUCUAAUUAUAUAAAUUAAUUCUAAUAUUGUGUAACCCUCCACAAUCAUCUAGUACCCGAUAAUCUCCCCUAGAAAUGUGAGAUUACUCCGGGAGACUCACGGUCAACCAAGGGUCAAACUUCUCUAACCCUGGUCAAACGGACCUGCAGAACCCAUGACCUCCAAUUUCCGAUCCGAAGGUCCCUAUGGGUUCUACCAGGUAUAGGACACUUGUCCUGCAAGUUUGGUUCAGAUCGGACGGUCGGAUUGCUCACGAUCGCACGAUCUGACGGUUAAUAUAAAAUAUAAACUUUAAAUUAUUAUUCGGAACAUCCGGGGCUCCGAUUCACGAUCCGUGAAUUCUUACACGAUCCUCGAAUUACCUAGAUUAACAUAUAUUAAAUUUGGGACCAUCCAACGGCCCCAACCUAUCGAACCCGGAUAACGCACAAUAUGCGAAUAUCCGUUCGAUAGUCAAACGACGUCCGAAUUGAGAUCCGCGAAAUCCUACACACUCGUGACAACCUAAGGAUCUCAUCGGAACACAUUGUUACUUUUUCCACAGUGCCCACGCGCCACCGCACGCGCCGGCAGCGCUGGGUGUCCAAAGCGAUAACGCUUUGCCGGAAAAUCUCAAAACCACGGCUCCAAACUCCUACCCUAGGUAUAACACCCUAUUUGGAGCCACUUUUGUUCUUGGACCUACCCCAAAAAGUGGCCGGAAAUGGCCGAUCACGGCGGCCAAAGUUUCGGCCGAUUUUCAAUUCGAAAAUCGAGUUGUCUACACUAAGAAUCGAUCUAAUCCUACCCAACCAUCAGCUAGAGCAGCUCGAGAGGUUCAAAAUCCAUACCUGGGUCGACGGAAUUGGUGGCCGGAGGAGGAAGAUCGGCGGUUUUGAAGUUUGGACGACGUCGGCCGCUUCAUCUCCAGAUUCCGGCGAAUCCGCGGCGGCUGGUGGUGGGAGGUAGCUGGGAUAGGAAGAGGACGACGGCCCGGUCAUUUUUGUACCGGUCCCGUCAUCAUUGGUGGCCGGAGGAGAGCACGGCCGGCCAAAACGUGGCCGGCUGUCGCGCGCGAGAGAGAGACCCGCGGGGAGGAGAGAGAGAGAGAGAAAACCAGAUUUUUAUAAAAAUCCCAUUUCGAAAUAUUUACGAUUGUGCCACUGGAUUUCUUUUGACCAUAUCUCUCUCGUUACAACUCCGAUUCGAGCCCACUACGUGUCUAUGAACUCGUCUCAGUACGACCUAUCCAAAAAUACAAGUCACGGUCCCAAACUCUCUCUGGUUAAAAAUAUGACUAAAAUACCCUUAAAUAAUUAAAUAAGGGUAAAAUUUGGGGAAAAUUUGGGGUCGGGGUGUUACAUCCUCCCACAAUAUUUUGAAGUUCCCCAAGUUUUGGAGUCAAUCCUAUAUCGAUUGGUCCACGAAAUUUGACAAUUCAGGUUCGGACGAAGUUCGUUCUGAAAUGGAGUGGUUGGUGUAUUGUAUAGUUCUAGGGAUUGGAUUUCACUCAAAACCUAUCAAAUGACUCCUCCAAAAAUAUUAUGAUGUUCCCCAAGUUUUGGACUCAAUUCGAUUUCGAUUGGUCCUUGAAAUCGGAUAAUUCAGGUUCGUACGAUGUUCGUUCUGAAAUGGAGUGGUUGGUGUAUUGUAUAGUUCUAGAAAUUGGAUUUCAUUCAAAACCCACCAAAUGACUCCUCCCGCAAUAUUAUGAUGUUCCUCAAGUUUUGGACUCAAUCCGAUAUCGAUUGGUUAAUGAAAUUGAACAAUUCAAGUUCGUACGAAGUACGUUCCGAAAUGGAGUGGUUGGUUUAUUGUAUAGUUCUAGGGAUUGGAUUUCACUCAAAACCCACCGAAUGACAACUCCCACAAUAUUAAGAUGUUUCCCAAGUUUUGGACUCAAUCUGAUAUCGAUUGUUCCUUGAAAUCGGACAAUUCAGGUUCGUACGAAGUUGGUUCUGAAAUGGGGUGGUUGGUGUAUUGCACAGUUCUAGAGAUUGGAUUUCACUCAAAACCCACCAAAUGACUCCUCCCACAAUAUUAUGAUGUUCCCCAAGUUUUGGACUCAAUCCAAUAUCGAUUGGUUCAUGAAAUCGGACAAUUCAGGUCCGUAUGAAGUUCAUUCUGAAAUGGAGUGGUUACUGUAUUAUAUAGUUCUAGUGAUUGGAUUUCACCCAAACCCCACCAAAUGAGAACUCCCACAAUAUUAUGAUGUGCCCCAAGUUUUGGACUCAAUCCGAUAUCGAUUGGUCAAUGAAAUCGGACAAUUCAAGUUCGUACGAAGUUCGUUCUGAAAAGGAGCGGCUGAUGUAUUGUGCAGUUCUAGAGAUUGGAUUCACUCAAAACCCACCAAAUGACUACUCCAACAAUCUUAUGAUGUUCCCCAAGUUUUGGACUCAAUCCGAUAUCGAUUGAUCCACGAAAUCGGCCAAUUUAGGUUCGUGUGAACUGUGUUUUGAAAUGGAGUGUUUGGUGUAUUGUAUAGUUCUAGAUAUUGGAUUUCACUCAAAAUCAACCAAAUGACUCCUCCCACAAUAUUAUGAUGUUCCCCAAGUUUUGGACUCAAUCCAAUAUCGAUUGGUCCAUGAAAUCGGACAAUUCAGGUCCAUACGAAGUUCGUUUUGAAAUGGAGUGGUUAGUGUAUUAUGUAGUUCUAGGGAUUGGAUUUCACUCAAAACCCACCAAAUGACAACUCCCAUAAUAUUAUGAUGUUCCCCAAUUUUUGGACUCAAUCCGAUAUCGAAUGGUCAAUGAAAUCGGACAAUUCAAGUUCGUAUGAAGUUCGUUCUGAAAUGGAGUGGUUGGUGUAUUGUAUAGUUCUAGGGAUUGGAUUUCACUCAAAACCCACCAAAUGACUCCUCCCACAAUAUUAUGAUGUUCCCCAAGUUUUGGACUGAAUCCGAUAUCGAUUGGUCCAUGAAAUCGGCUAAUUCAGGUUCGUGUGAACUAUGUUCUGAAAUGGAGUGGUUGGUGUAUUGUACAGUUCUAGAGAUUGGAUUUCACUCAAAAUCCCCCAAAUGACUCGUCCCACAAUAUUAUGAGGUUCCCCAAGUUUUGGAGUCAAUCUGAUAUCGAUUGGUCCUUGAAAUCGGCCAAUUCAGGUUCCUGGGAAUUGCGUUCUGAAAUGGAGUGGUUGGUAUAUUGUAUUGUUCUAGAGAUUGGAUUUCACUCAAAAUCCACCAAAUGACUCCUCCUACAAUAUUAUGGUGUUCCCCAAGUUUUGGACUCAAUCCGAUAUCGAUUAGUCCUUGUAAUCGGACAAUUCAGGUUCGUGUGAACUGUGUUCUGAAAUGGAGUGGUUGGGGUGUUGCAUAAUUCUAGAGAUUGGAUUUCACUCAAAAUCCACCAAAUGACUCUUCCCCCAAUAUUUUGAUGUUCCCCCAGUUUUAGACUCAAUCAGAUAUUGAUUGGUCCUUGAAAUCGGACAAUUCAGGUUCGUACGAAGUUCGUUCUGAAAUGGAGUGGUUGGUGUAUUGUAUAGUUCUGCCAAUUGGAUUUCACUCAAAACCCGCCAAAUGACUCCACCCACAAUAUUACGAUGUUCCCCCAGUUUUGGACUCAAUCAGAUAUCGACUGGUCCACGAAAUUUGACAAUUCAGGUUCGUAUGAAGUACGUUCAGAAAUGGAGUGGUUGGUGAAUUGUAUAUAGUUCUAGGGAUUGGAUUUCAUUAAAAACCCACCAAAUGACUCCUCCCACAAUAUUUUGUUGUUCCCCAAGUUUUGGACUCAAUCCGACAUCGAUUGGUCCUUGAAAUCGAACAAUUCAGGUUCGUGCAAAGUUCACUCUAAAAUGGAGUGGCUGAUGUAUUGUAUAGUUCUAGAGAUUGGAUUUCGCUCAAAACCCACCAAAUGACUACUCCCACAAUAUUAUGACGUUCCCCAAGUUUUGGACUCAAUCCGAUAUCAAUUGGUCUUUGAAAUUGGACAAUUCAGGUUUGUACGAAGUUCGUUCUGAAAUGGAGUGGUUGGUGUAUUGUAUAGUUCUAGAGAUUGUAUUUCACUCAAAACCCACCGAAUAACUCCUCCCACAAUACGAUGAUGUUCUCCGUGUUUUGGACUCAAUCCGAAAUCGAUUGGUCCACGAAAUUUGACAAUUCAUGUUCGUACGAAGUUCGUUAUGAAAUGUAGUGGUUGGUGUAUUGUAUAGUUCUAGGGAUUAGAUUUCACUCAAGGCCCACCAAAUGACUCCACCCACAAUAUUACGAUGUUCCCCAAGUUUUGGACUCAAUUCGACAUCGAUUGGUCCUUGAAAUCAGACAAUUCAGGUUCGUACGAAGUUCGUUCUGAAAUGGAGUGGCUGAUGUAUUAUAUAGUGCACGAGAUUGGAUUUCACUCAAAACCCACCAAAUGACUCCGCCCACAAUAUUAUGAUGUUCCCCAAGUUUUGGACUCAAUCCGAUAUCGAUUGGUCCUUGAAAUCGGACAAUUCAGGUUCGUACGAAGUUCGUUCUGCAAUGGGGCGGUUGGUGUGUUGUAUAGUUCUAGGGAUUGUAUUUCACUCAAAACCCACCAAAUGACUCCUCCCAGAAUAUUAUGAUGUUCCCCAAAUUUUGGACUCAAUCCGUUAUCGAUUGGCCAAUGAAAUCGGACAAUUCAGGUUCGUACGAACUUCGUUCUGAAAUGGGGUGGUUGGUGUAUUGUAUAGUUCUAGAGAUUGGAUUUCACUCAACACCUACCAACUGACUCCUCCCACAAUAUUAUGAUGUGCGCCCAGUUUUGGACUCAGUCCGAUAUCGAUUGGUCCUUGAAAUCGGACAAUUCAGGUUCGCACGAAGUUCGUUCUGAAAUGGGGUGGUUGGUGUACUGUAUAGUUCUAGAGAUUGGAUUUCACUCAAAUCCCACCAAAUGACUCCUCCCACAAUAUUAUGAUGUUCCCCAAGUUUUGGACUCAGUCCGAUAUCGAUUGGUCCUUGAAAUUGGACAAUUCAGGUUCGUACGAAGUUCGUUCUGAACUGGGUUGGUUGGUGUAUUGUAUAGUUCUAGAUAUUGGAUUUCAUUCAGAACCUACCAAAUUUCUCCUCCCACAAUAUUAUGGUGUUGCCCAAGUUUUGGACUCAAUCCAAUAUCGAUUGGUCCUUUGAAAUCGGACAAUUCAGGUUUCGUACAAAGUUCGUUCUGAAAUGGGGCGGUUGGUGUCUUUUAUAGUUCUAGAGAUUGGAUUUCACUCAAAACCCACCAAAUGACUCCUCCCAGAAUAUUAUGAUGUUCCCCAAGUUUUGGACUCAAUCCGUUAUCGAUUGGCCAAUGAAAUCGGACAAUUCAGGUUCGUACGAACUUCGUUCUGAAAUGGGGUGGUUGGUGUAUUGUAUAGUUCUAGAGAUUGGAUUUCACUCAACACCUACCAACUGACUCCUCCCACAAUAUUAUGAUGUGCGCCCAGUUUUGGACUCAGUCCGAUAUCGAUUGGUCCUUGAAAUCGGACAAUUCAGGUUCGUACGAAGUUCGUUCUGAAAUGGGGUGGUUGGUGUACUGUAUAGUUCUAGAGAUUGGAUUUCACUCAAAUCCCACCAAAUGACUCCUCCCACAAUAUUAUGAUGUUCCCCAAGUUUUGGACUCAAUCCGAUAUCGAUUGGUCCUUGAAAUAGGACAAUUCAGGUUCGUAUGAAGUUCGUUCUGAAAUGGGGUGGUUUGUGUAUUGUAUAGUUCUAGAGAUUGGAUUUCACUCAAAACCCGCCAACUGACUCCUCCCACAAUAUUAUGAUGUUCCCCAAGUUUUUGACUCAAUCAGAUAUCGAUUCGUCCUUGAAAUCUGACAAUUCAGGUCUGUACGAAGUUCGUUCUGAAAUGGGGUGGUUGGUGUAUUGUAUAGUUCUAGAGAUUGGAUUUCACUCAAAACAAAUCAAAUGACCCAUCCCACAAUAUUAUGCUGUUCCCCAAGUUUCGGACUCAAUCCGAUAUCGAUUGGCCCUUGAAAUCGGACAACUCCGGUUCCUACGAAGUUCGUUCUGAAAUGGUGUGGUUGGUGUAUUGUAUAGUUCUAGAGAUUGGAUUUCACUCAAAACCCACCAAAUGACUCCUCCCACAACAUGAUGAUGUUCCCCAAGUUUUGGACUCAAUCCGAUAUCGAUUGGUCCUUGAAAUCGGACAAUUCAGGUUCCUACGAAGUUCGUUCUGAAAUGGGGUGGUUCGUGUAUUGUAUAGUUCUAGAGAAUGGAUUUCACUCAAAACCCACCAAAUGACUCCUCCCACAAUAUUCUGAUGUUCCCCAAGUUUUUGACUCAAUCCGAUAUCGAUUGGUCCUUGAAAUCGGACAAUUCAGGUUUGUACGAAGUUCGUUCUGAAAUGGGGUGGUUGGUGUAUUGUAUAGUUCUAGAGAUUGGAUUUCACUCAAAACCCGCCAACGGACUCCUCCCACAAUAUUAUGAUGUUCCCCAAGUUUUGGACUCAAU
rnacentral:lncRNA from 1 species